rnacentral:lncRNA from 1 species
AAUAUUAUCAAAUCAAAAUUACAGUGAUUUCCUGAGACAAGAUGAUUAGCCGGACAUAGGAAUGCUUCUCGCUAAAUCCUUCAUCCUAGAGCUCUGAGGUCUUCCUUCCAACGGCUUGAAGCAGGGAUCAGAAGCAAGAAGAGAGGUUUGCUUAGAGAAGAGAAAGCGGGAGAGAGAUUGCUUGAGAGAGAAGAGAAGAAAGUUUGUGGUGGUGUAGACAAGAGAGAGGAAACGUUGAGCAAUUUGUGAGAGGAAGAGAGGACUUGGCUUGUGGCUGUGUUGUAGAGAAAUGAUGGGUUAGGGGUCUUUUUAUAGCUGUUUAAGGGGAGGAGUGUGGCCCUGUUUAGUAGUAUGGGACAAAGAAAAUAGGUAGAAUCCAAUGUGGUUGAAGAACUCAAGUCCCUG